rnacentral:rRNA from 1 species
AACGAGCGCUGGCGGCAUGCCUAACACAUGCCAGUCGAACGAGACCUUCGGGUCUAGUGGCGCACGGGUGCGUAACGCGUGGGAACCUGCCCUUAGGUUCGGAAUAACUCCCCGAAAGGGGUGCUAAUACCGGAUAAUGUCUUCGGACCAAAGAUUUAUCGCCUUUGGAUGGGCCCGCGUUGGAUUAGCUAGUUGGUAGGGUAAAAGCCUACCAAGGCGACGAUCCAUAGCUGGUCUGAGAGGAUGAUCAGCCACACUGGGACUGAGACACGGCCCAGACUCCUACGGGAGGCAGCAGUGGGGAAUAUUGGACAAUGGGCGAAAGCCUGAUCCAGCAAUGCCGCGUGAGUGAUGAAGGCCUUAGGGUUGUAAAGCUCUUUUACCCGGGAUGAUAAUGACAGUACCGGGAGAAUAAGCGCCGGCUAACUCCGUG